rnacentral:rRNA from 1 species
UACGGAGGGUGCAAGCGUUAUCCGGAUUCACUGGGUUUAAAGGGAGCGUAGGCCGGCAUGUAAGUCAGUGGUGAAAUCCUGGGGCUCAACCCCGGAACUGCCAUUGAUACUAUGUGCCUUGGAUCCUGUUGAGGUUUGCGGAAUAUGUCAUGUAGCGGUGAAAUGCUUAGAUAUGACAUAGAACACCGAUUGCGAAGGCAGCAGGCUAAACAGGCAUCGACGCUGAGGCUCGAAAGCGUGGGGAUCGAACAG